CUUUCUUUGCUGGCGACCGGCGCACGGGUGAGUAACACGUAUCCAACCUGCCCUUUACUCGGGGAUAGCCUUUCGAAAGGAAGAUUAAUACCCGAUAGCAUAAUGAUUCCGCAUGGUUUCAUUAUUAAAGGAUUCCGGUAAAGGAUGGGGAUGCGUUCCAUUAGGUUGUUGGUGGGGUAACGGCCCACCAAGCCUUCGAUGGAUAGGGGUUCUGAGAGGAAGGUCCCCCACAUUGGAACUGAGACACGGUCCAA
rnacentral:rRNA from 1 species